rnacentral:tRNA from 3 species
GUGACCAUGGUGUAACGGCAGCACAGGAGCUUGUGGAGCUCUUAGCCCGGGUUCGACACCCGGUGGUCACCCCA